UGACGAGUUUGAUCCUGGCUCAGAACGAACGCUGGCGGCGUGUUUAAGACAUGCAAGUCGCACGGGAUUGAAUGAGUAGUAAUACGAGUUCAGUCUAGUGGCGCACGGGUGAGUAACAUGUGAAUUACAUGCCCUUCAGUGGGGAAUAGCCCAGGGAAACUUGGAUUAAUACCCCAUGGUAUCGCAAGAUUAAAGGUGGCCGCAAGGCUGUCGCUGAAGGAUUGGUUCGCACCCUAUCAGCUUGUUGGUGAGGUAAUGGCUCACCAAGGCUACGACGGGUACCUGGUCUGAGAGGACGAUCAGGCACACUGGAACUGAGA
rnacentral:rRNA from 1 species